rnacentral:rRNA from 1 species
GACGAACGCUGGCGGCGUGCCUAAUACAUGCAAGUAGAACGCUGAGGCAGGAGCUUGCUUCUCUGCUCGAGUUGCGAACGGGUGAGUAACGCGUAGGUAACCUGCCUGUUACCGUGGGAUAACUUUUGGAAACGAUAGCUAAUACCGCAUAAUAGUAGAUGCUGCAUGACAUUUGCUUAAAAGGUGCAAUUGCAUCACUACCACAUGCACCUGCGUUGUUUUAGCUUGUUGGUGUGGUAACGGCGCACCAAGGCGACGAUCCAUAGCCGACGUGAGAUGGUGAGCGGCCAGACUGGGAGUGAGACACGGCCCAGACGCCUACGGGAGGCAGCAGGAGGGAAUCGGGGGCAAGGGACGGAAGUCAGAGCGAGCAAGGCGGAGGGAGGGAGGAAGGUUGUCGGAUGGGAGAGCUCUGUUGUCAGGGAAUAACGAGUGUGAGAGUGGAAAGAACAGAGAGUGACGGUAACUGAUCAGAAAGCGACGGCUAACUACGUG